rnacentral:misc_RNA from 1 species
UUUUUUUUUUUUUUUUUUAUGUAUGUUACAUCAGAACUUUUGACCGGGUAGACCGAUUUCGACAAAUUUUGUUUCAAUCGAAAGGUGGUGUGUGCCAAUUGGUCCCAUUUAAAUUUAUUUGAGAUCUAACAACUACUUUUCGAGCUAUAUCUAAUAAUGCGUUUUUACUUGACGCUUUUUUCGUCGACCUACGUUGUAUUAUAUCGCAUAACUUUCUACUGGAUGUACCGAUUUUGAUAAAUUUUUUUUUUUGUUGGAAAGGAGAUAUCUCAAGUUUAGUACCAUGAUAAGGAAACCAGGAUCUGAUGAUGGGAUCCCAGAGAAAUUGAUGGAAAUUCUUGAAAAUCCGCAAUAACUUUUUACUGGGUGUACCGAUUUUGAUAAUUCUUUUUUGUUGGAAAGAAGAUAUCCUUAGUUUAGUACUAUGAUAAGGAAAC